rnacentral:rRNA from 1 species
UGAGGAAUAUUGGUCAAUGGACGCAAGUCUGAACCAGCCAAGUAGCGUGCAGGAUGACGGCCCUAUGGGUUGUAAACUGCUUUUAUAUGGGGAUAAAGUGGGGAACGUGUUCCCUUUUGCAGGUACCAUAUGAAUAAGGACCGGCUAAUUCCGUGCCAGCAGCCGCGGUAAUACGGAAGGUUCGGGCGUUAUCCGGAUUUAUUGGGUUUAAAGGGAGCGUAGGCCGUUUGGUAAGCGUGUUGUGAAAUGUAGGAGCUCAACUUCUAGAUUGCAGCGCGAACUGUCAGACUUGAGUGCGCCCAACGUAGGCGGAAUUCAUGGUGUAGCGGUGAAAUGCUUAGAUAUCAUGAAGAACUCCGAUUGCUAAUGCAGCUUACGGGAGCGCAACUGACGCUGAAGCUCGAAGGUGCGGGUAUCGAACAGG